rnacentral:misc_RNA from 1 species
UCCCCGUUACCGAGGCAGUCUGAAUAGAAAAAUUCAACUAUUCAUAAGGGUUGCGCUCGUUGAUGGACUUAACCAAACAUCUCACGACACGAGCUGACGACGGCCAUGCAUCACCUGUCACUGCUUGCCCCGUACUCACUUUGAUUCCCCUAAAACUUUCGUUUCAGUAUCAAAGCGACUACGGGGCACAUUUUCCUUUCGGAAAACUUGGCAGGAUGUCAAGCCUGGGUAAGGUUCUUCGCUUAUCAUCGAAUUAAACAACACGCUCCACCGCUUGUGCGGGUCCCCGUCAAUUCCUUUGAGUUUUAAUCUUGCGACCGUACUCCUCAGGCGGGAUGCUUAACGCGUUAACUUCGCUACUGACCGGGUCGAUACGGCCAACAGCUAGCAUCCAUAGUUU